CGAACGGGUGAGUAACACGUAGGUAACCUGCCCAUGUGCCCGGGAUAACUUCUGGAAACGGAUGCUAAAACCGGAUAGGUAGCAGACAAGCAUUUGACUGCUAUUAAAGUGGCUAAGGCCAUGAACAUGGAUGGACCUGCGGUGCAUUAGCUAGUUGGUGAGGUAACGGCCCACCAAGACUACGAUGGAUAGGGGUUCUGAGAGGAAGGUCCCCCACAUUGGAACUGAGACACGGUCCAAACUCCUACGGGAGGCAGCAUG
rnacentral:rRNA from 1 species